UGGGGAAUAUUGGACAAUGGGGGGAACCCUGAUCCAGCCAUGCCGCGUGUGUGAAGAAGGCCUUAUGGUUGUAAAGCACUUUAAGCGAGGAGGAGGCUCUCUUGGUUAAUACCCAAGAAGAGUGGACGUUACUCGCAGAAUAAGCACCGGCUAACUCUGUGCCAGCAGCCGCGGUAAUACAGAGGGUGCGAGCGUUAAUCGGAUUUACUGGGCGUAAAGCGUGCGUAGGCGGCUUUUUAAGUCGGAUGUGAAAUCCCCGAGCUUAACUUGGGAAUUGCAUUCGAUACUGGGAAGCUAGAGUAUGGGAGAGGAUGGUAGAAUUCCAGGUGUAGCGGUGAAAUGCGUAGAGAUCUUGGAGGAAUACCGAUGGCGAAGGCAGCCAUCUGGCCUAAUACUGACGCUGAGGUACGAAAGCAUGGGGAGCAAACA
rnacentral:rRNA from 1 species